rnacentral:rRNA from 1 species
UACGUAGGAGGCAAGCGUUGUCCGGAAUCAUUGGGCGUAAAGAGCGUGUAGGCGGCCAGAUAAGUCCGCUGUGAAAUCUCGAGGCUCAACUUCGAGCUGUCGGUGGAAACUGUCUGGCUAGAGUCCGGAAGAGGAGAAUGGAAUUCCUGGUGUAGCGGUGAAAUGCGCAGAUAUCAGGAAGAACACCCGUGGCGAAGGCGGUUCUCUGGGACGGUACUGACGCUGAGACGCGAAAGCGUGGGGAGCGAACAGG